CACUGCGCAGCAUCAUGGGUGAAUGUGAUUGCUCUGUCUUCUUAUGUGGUUUUACAUGCAUCAGCCUCAGUCUAGCCUGUGCUUUGGGGUAAUGCUAUUAUAUAAUCAAUGAAUGACAAAAAUGAUCUGAGAUAAAAGGGAAAAGGCCAAAACGAGUAAAAACAGGGUAAUGAUAUAAUAUCAGAGCAUGAUUAUAAAUACUGAUAUAAAGAGAGCUGGCAUUCUGCCAAUUUCUUGUCCAGUGUUUUAUUCAGCCAAGGCCUUUUUAAAAAUCAUAUCCAAGUAUGAGAUAUCGUAUCCAUGUAUGGGAGCAGAGGAAAUCUAUUCUCUCUUGAAAUUAAAAGCUUUUGUGAGGCUUCUGUGACUGAACAUCUCAAAAUCAAAUUCAAAUGUAAGUAUCACCAAACAUGAGAACAAUUAGCAAGCUAUUCUCUUUUCAGUUGUUACGUAUUGUUGACUUGCCUGCUUGGUGUAACUCUUUAGUACUGGUAGGAGUCACGAGUGGCUAAUGGGCAGUCAUAGACAUCGGCCUUAUAGGAUCCAACUGGGCCACCAGCUGAAGCUGCUUAAACUGCAGACUGCCAGAAUAAGCAUCCUACCUUUUGCUUUCUCUUUCUUCCCAAGGGAUGGAUGGGCCAACCACAUGUGUAUGUGUUGAUCAUCUUAAGCCAGCAGCAAAGCUGAAGUCCCAGGAUUGCCACCUGCAGUCUGCAGGAUCUGUCUGAGAGUCAGAAGCUCUGCAGGCACGCUGACCCAGGCCUGGGGCCUGAUGCCAGGGAUGCAGGCAGGACUCCAGCUGAACACUGGCUUAAAGCUUCAAAUAAAGCACUUUAGUCUCAUCAUGUGGGCGUUUCUCAAAUUGCAUCUGGUUACACAGGAGUAUUUCCAAGCAGAUCCUUGUCACUGAUCUUUUGUUUGGAAUGAGGAUAAUAAGAAAGUGAAUACAAAGCUCUUUCCUGGAUUAUAUGUGGCCACUUUAAAUAUAGGUUAUGCCUCUCCUCAAGGAGCAGGCCUCCAAUGGAUGCUUUUCUAGCUAAAUCUGAUUUAAAGAUGACUGCUUUUAAACUUGUCCUACCUGAAGUGGUAAUUGUGAGUUUUUCCCUUUGAAAUGAAAACUGAAUUUGCAACCUGAAAAAAGAAAGUAUCCAACAGAAACUCCACUACAAUUCUUACUGCCACAACAAUAAACCUGUGAGACAGCUUUUGUUUUAUUUUCGAUCACUAUUGCCUGUAAAAAUGCUGGACAUGUAACACUGAAGAACGAAAUCCUCUUUACCUACUAAUUAAUAGCAGAUAAAGACAGCUCAUGUCCAAAGAGGAAUUUAGGAAAAAAAGGCAAAAGGGAAAAAAAUAGUUCUCUGGAAAGGGUUACAGAAUGAUUAUUCCCCUUUUCCCCUCAAUUAGUAGGCAAACAAUGUCAAUUUGAUCCCUUUGUAGCUGUUACAAUUAGGUCUUUCUUGCGCUUUUCCAAGUUUACACUGCUCUUAACUGUCUGUGGCUGCAGCAGAUACUGUAAUAUCUCUCUGCAUAACAGCUAGAACAGCUAUAGUUAUUCAGUCCAAAACUGAAAGUGCAACCAACAAAUGACGUUUAUCUCAAAAACAGCAUUAUUUCAACAAAUUUAGCAAACUUUACCAUCCUCCCCCUUCCACUUUUUCUAAUUCCCCUUGACUUGUGUUCACUCCCUCCACUUUUUUCUCUUCUCAUUAUUUCCUUUGAUUUCUUCUUGUGGCUUCUAGAUACCAAAGUAUGUUUUUUAGGGCUUGCCACUGAGAGCAACGACCUUUUCUUGAAGAAGCUUUUCAUAGGCACUCAUGGUUACUUCACGACGCAGUGAUGUGCACAUUUAAGUAACAUGAUUUCAGGAACUGGGAAAGAGGAAGGUGCAGUUCAGUAAUAUGGAUGGUACAAUGACCCUGCCUGAUCACAUGUUGGGAAUGGAGAUCAGAGUGAAGCUUCAACACUUGGAUCCUGGGUGUCCUGGGCCUGGAACACCAUCACUGCCCAGCUUAUUAAGGGGAGGUCAGCCCUAGAAUUAGCCCUAAAUUGAGUCCUCUGCUACACUACUUCUGAGAAGAUGGUCCUGAAUGAAAGGGGACCCUGAGCACUGUCAGCUGUAUUCCAGCAAAGGGUGAAAAGCACCAAGAAGUGACUUCCAGUACUAUCCUGAGCAGCCACUGAAAACAGAAGCCUUCUUGUCUGGCUUUUGUUCUCAAAUAGCCAAUAAGAACUGAUAAGC